rnacentral:tRNA from 1 species
GGGGGUAUAGCUCAGUGAUUAGAGCACCCGCAAACGUAUCGGAAGGUCGGGGGUUCGUCUCCCUCUGCCUCCA